AGAGUUUGAUCAUGGCUCAGAAUAAACGCUGGCGGCGUGCCUAACACAUGCAAGUCGCACGAGAAAGUCGGCUUUCGGGCCGGCGAGUAAAGUGGCGCACGGGUGAGUAACGCGUAGGCGACCUACCCCUGUGUUCGGGAUAACAGAGCGAAAGCGCUGCUAAUACCGGAUACGAUCCCUUCGGGGAAGAAAGCGGGCCUCUCGAAGAAGCUCGCGCGCGGGGAUGGGCCUGCGUCCUAUCAGCUAGUUGGCGGGGUAACGGCCCACCAAGGCAUCGACGGGUAGCUGGUCUGAGAGGAUGAUCAGCCACACUGGCACUGGAACACGGGCCAGACUCCUACGGGAGGCAGCAGUGAGGAAUUUUGCGCAAUGGGAGAAAUCCUGACGCAGCAACGCCGCGUGGGUGAUGAAGGCCUUCGGGUCGUAAAGCCCUGUCAGGUGGGAAGAAUGGGCGCAAGGCGAACAGCCUUGUGUUUUGACGGUACCACCAGAGGAAGCACCGGCUAACUCCGUGCCAGCAGCCGCGGUAAUACGGAGGGUGCGAGCGUUAUUCGGAAUUACUGGGCGUAAAGCGCGUGCAGGCGGGCGUGCAAGUCUGAUGUGAAAGCCCCGGGCUCAACCUGGGAAGAGCAUUGGAAACUGCACGUCUUGAGUGCUGGAGAGGAAGGGGGAAUUCCCGGUGUAGAGGUGAAAUUCGUAGAGAUCGGGAGGAAUACCAGUGGCGAAGGCGCCCUUCUGGACGGCAACUGACGCUGAGACGCGAAAGCGUGGGGAGCAAACAGGAUUAGAUACCCUAGUAGUCC
rnacentral:rRNA from 1 species